GGAGAUAGAUCAUACAAUCUCCUUUGAGAAAGGUUUACAUCUGUAUACCAGCAAAAGAAUUAAUCCUAGAUGGGCCAUCCUUUGCAUCUGUAUACCAGCAAAAGAAUUAUUCCUAAAUAUACAAAAUCAAUGCAAAAGAAAUGUGAAUAUAUAUACAUGGCCUACAAACAAUUAGGAAUUUGAGCGACAUCCACAUAACCUCAUAAAUCGCACUUAAAUGUAAUAAAUCAUUUUAUAUAUUAGCAAAGUUCACAAACUGCUGGUGCAUCAUUGAUUAUUUCACAAAGAAAAAUGUCUUUUUUCCUAUUAAUAUGGAUGCAUUCCAACAGCUAAUACUUAUGGAAUUUUAUUGUUCAGUCAGGUGAGUGUAAUAGAAUAGUGGAAAUAUCCAUAACUUCGCAUAUACAUUUCGAAAAUGCAGUGACAUCUAAAAGAAUAACUUAGUGGGUGUUUCCGUCCCCUAAGAUUAGGGGAACUGGUUGCUGAUAAUAGAGUAUACAUAUUUGUUUAACAACUGAACUUAUUCCUUCUAACCCCUUAACAUUAACUACCUAAUCAAUUUUCGAAAAUAUAUCCCUCUUUUGAAUUAUAAAUUUUAGUCACCUACCAUAGAUUGUCUUCUAUAUCUCUAACAAAUUAUACAAAGAAAUGUGGGCACUUAAAAGAAAAAAUACCAAAAUUGCAGCCUUUCCCUGCUCCCAAAUGAAGAAGACCUUAUCGUUUGAUUAUCUCUGUUUGUCGGAGAAGUGAACGCAGGAAAUUAUGUACUUUGAACUCACUAUAAUAAGCCCUCCAAAAUGAAAUUCGAGUUAGAAAGAAUUACACAAAUUAAAAUAAAUUCAAUAACAUACAUUAGGAAAAAAUGGUAUAGCGAAUUCGGACUUACCACAUGUCACAAAGGCUAAGCCAAUAACUCAAUUUCUUUAGCCAAGCAGCGAUAGAUUGCUUGUUGUCUCUUCAAGCCCAUCUCUAUUCAUGACAAACAUAUCAUCCUUUACAUGAGAAUUCCGACCACACUAUUUUUAAUCCACAUAUCUCAGUAAUCUCAAGAUCCGUUAAUUGACCAAACGGGGAAAAAUAUAUCAAUACACCCCCAAGGCGAAGAGACAACUAAAAUAGGAGAAAAUAAUAACAAUAUUUUGCCAGAAAAAAAAAACGUGCUUCACAUCACUUGUCUAAAAACUCGCAUAUAUGCAUGCUGAAGGAUGAAGAGCAAUAAGCUUUAAAAUGGUAAUAAAAACAAAAGAAAAAUUAUCCAAACCCACUGUAAUAUCAAUGGUAUCAACCAACUCGUAACAAAGAGUAUAAAUCAUUUUUGUAGAACUUGAGUUCGAUAAAUCCAGCUUGAGGGUGGGGGUUCAGAGCAUGAGUGUAGGAUUUAAAAAUACAAUUGGGGGUUAUUUGAUAUGGAGUUCUUGGGGUGAAAUUUGGGGUUUGCUUUGGGGAGGAAUGGCAGAAUAGGGAGCGUUGGAGGGAAAG
rnacentral:lncRNA from 1 species